UGUUGUUCUUCGGCUUCAUUUUGGCCCUAACUAUGUUUAGCAAUCCCAUGAGUCGUAAAUUUAGUAAUGCCAUUGAUUGGUUUUAUAUGAUUGCUCUGAUCUUCGGCUGUGUUUCUGGAGUAACUUUACUGUAUGCUGCAAAUAGGCAAAAGCGCAGGCUCUUGAGGAUUUUCGUCUAUAUAGGGAUCCCAACCAUGUUGGCCCUUGAUGCUAUGAAUAUCUUUAUGGUGGUCACUCAAUGGAAAUUCAUACCGGUAUACCCAAAUGUUUUGAGCAUUAUAGAAACAAUUCUCACGACAUAUUUAAUGGUGUGUGCACUUUUUGUAGCGCAGAAGUAUAUGCGUAAACUUUCCCGUGACCGAAUAAAUCAAGCCGUACGAUCCGAAUCGUAAGAAAACUGCAUUGGGCUGGAAAUUGAAGGGUUGUAUUCCUUCUAAAUUAAGCCGGAUCAUUUCGAGUCCUUUUUCCUUUAUUAUUAUACCAAAAGGAUAUGUAUAGGAAACAAAAUUAUCUAAUGGAAAGCCAAAUUCUGGUGUGGAUUUGGAUAGUGAUAAUGCUCGCAGUGAUUGUGGCAACCACUGUUUUCGAGAUUGUCAGGCUGUGCAAAGGUUGGAACUCCCUAGGUGACAGAACGAAAACCUAUGAAAUUAUUUUCAUAAUAGUUGCCCCAUGUGAGCUGACUGAAUGGCAAUAAACGGCUCAUUGGUUUUACAAGCUUU